UACGUAGGGUGCAAGCGUUAAUCGGAAUUACUGGGCGUAAAGCGUGCGCAGGCGGUUGUGCAAGACAGAUGUGAAAUCCCCGGGCUCAACCUGGGAAUGGCAUUUGUGACUGCAAGGCUUGAGUGCGGCAGAGGAGACUGGAAUUCCUGGUGUAGCAGUGAAAUGCGUAGAUAUCAGGAGGAAUACCGAUGGCGAAGGCAGGUCUCUGGGCUGACACUGACGCUCAUGCACGAAAGCGUGGGGAGCAAACAGG
rnacentral:rRNA from 1 species